GGGCCCGCACAAGCAGUGGAGCAUGUGGUUUAAUUCGAUGAUACGCGAGGAACCUUACCUGGGCUCGAACACUAUUAGACGAUACCUGAAAGGGUAUUUCUCUUCGGAGCUGGUAGUGAGGUGCUGCAUGGUUGUCGUCAGCUCGUGCCGUGAGUGUUGGGUUAAGUCCCGCAACGAGCGCAACCCCUAUCUUCAGUUGCCAACAGUUAGGCUGGGGACUCUGGAGAGACUGCCUCCGUAAGGAGUGAGGAAGGAAGGGACGACGUCAAAUCAUCAUGGCCUUUAUGCCAGGGCUACACACGUGCUACAAUGGUAGGUACAGAGGGGAGCGAAGUUGCGAAGCGGAGCGAA
rnacentral:rRNA from 1 species